UACGUAGGGGGCAAGCGUUGUCCGGAUUUAUUGGGCGUAAAGAGCGUGUAGGCGGCCAGACAGGUCCGUUGUGAAACUCGAGGCUCAACCUCGAGAUGUCGAUGGAAACCGUCUGGCUAGAGUCCGGAAGAGGAGUGUGGAAUUCCUGGUGUAGCGGUGAAAUGCGCAGAUAUCAGGAAGAACACCUAUGGCGAAGGCAGCACUCUGGGACGGUACUGACGCUGAGACGCGAAAGCGUGGGGAGCGAACAGG
rnacentral:rRNA from 1 species